rnacentral:lncRNA from 10 species
CAGGUAGAGGCCACUGCUGAAUCUCUGCUGUGUGUUCUGUUCACAGGUGGUGGACAAUACGGAGGAGGAUGAAGAGGCAUGGUCCACCACAACAGGUUGCCCAGAGAGGCUGUAGAGAGUUUAAAAGGAAGGAGGGUCUUGAAAGAUGGGUCCUUUGUUGAACCACAAGUGGCCCAACUGGGGCUAACUGGCAGCUGGGUUGUGUAUGGCACUUAGGUAAGAGUAGGGUGUAAAAUCAAUGGAUGACAUCCUUCCUGAGACUUAAGAAAGUCCAGACCAAGUUAAGAAGAGGGAGUUGGAUGGAGAUGCCAGGAAUUGAUGAAACUCUGUGUGCAAAGCACAGCACAGUUAGUGCCAAGAGUAGGAGGUGGUCCUCUCACCUCUAAGGACUUCAGAAGGCUGGUUGGCCUGGGGAAUGCCAAAUACUCAGUAAUGCCUCUGUUUCCUAACUGGCCAAAAUGUGAAAAAGUAAAUGGGCUCAAAUAAAUAUUAAUGAAGUGUCGACCAUGUACUACAUUGCAAAACGGCCUUUGUGAAAGAAACAAGGUCAAGCUUUCUAGAAGGCCUGGAUUUUUUCUCUAUGAGGAAAAUAAAAUCAUGCAGCCCCUUAGGGUUUCAGUCAGUGAUCAUCACCCCAGCCCAGUGCCUGCUCCUGACAGAGACUCAGCAAGUGCAGCUCUGCGUGUUUCCUCCAUCACAGAGGCCUGCUUAGGGGAAAAAUCUUGCUGAAGAAAAGUGGCCGAUGGUUUCGAGAGAAGAGACGCUUAUUCAUGUAAUUCUCAAGAAUCCCAUCUCCGGCUUAGAAGGACACCUUUUCUGAUUUCCCAUUCAAAGGGACUGACGUACACUCAGGGGCUGAGGCAGCAGCUGUUUUUGCUGUGCACAGACUGGAGAGCGAUGUGUGAGUGAAGUCUGUGGCCACUUCUCUCCUCCCCCGAGCCUUCUGGGGUUUGGGUUUAUGACUCCAGAGGCGGAGAAGCGUGUUCCCUUUCUGUGCGGAUCC